UCCUGUACUACCGAUAACCGUUUGAGAGAAGGGAUGACACAGUAGGAUAAGCUAAGCACACUGUUGGUUAUGUGUGCCCAAGCAUUGAGGCAGUCAAAGUAGGCAAAUCCGCUUUGAUAAUGCUGGGAUGUGAUGGGGAGCGAAAUUUAGUAGCGAAGUAGCUGAUUUCACACUGUCAAGAAAAGUCUCUAUCGAGGUUAAAGGUACCCGUACCGCAAACCGACACAGGUGGGUGAGGAGAGUAUCCUAAGGCCAGCGAGAGAACUGUUGUUAAGGAACUCGGCAAAAUGACCCCGUAACUUAGGGAUAAGGGGUGCCACCAUCAGGUGGCCGCAGAGAAUAGGCCCAAGCGACUGUUUACCAAAAACAUAGGUUUCUGCUAAGUCGCAAGACGAUGUAUAGGAGCUGACGCCUGCCCGGUGCUGGAAGGUUAAGGGGAUCUGUUAGAGCAAUCGAAGCAGUGAACUUAAGCCCCAGUAAACGGCGGCCGUAACUAUAACGGUCCUAAGGUAGCGAAAUUCCUUGUCGGGUAAGUUCCGACCCGCACGAAAGGCGUAACGAUUUGGGCACUGUCUCAACAACAGACUCGGUGAAAUUGUAAUUCCGGUGAAGAUGCCGGAUACCUGCGACAGGACGGAAAGACCCCAUGGAGCUUUACUGUAGCUUGACAUUGGGUCUUGGUACUACAUGUACAGGAUAGGUGGGAGGCUUUGAAACCAGGACGCCAGUUUUGGCGGAGCCAUCCUUGGGAUACCACCCUUGUAGUACUGGGACUCUAACCAUAGGCCAUGAAUCUGGUCUUGGGACACUGUCAGGUGGGCAGUUUGACUGGGGCGGUCGCCUCCCAAAAGGUAACGGAGGCGCUCAAAGGUUCUCUCAGUACGGUCGGAAAUCGUACGUAGAGUGUAAAGGCAAAAGAGAGCUUGAUUGCAAGACAUACAGGUCGAGCAAGGAUGAAAAUCGGACUUAGUGAUCCGGUG
rnacentral:rRNA from 1 species